rnacentral:rRNA from 1 species
CCUACGGGAGGCAGCAGUAAGGAAUAUUGGUCAAUGGACGCAAGUCUGAACCAGCCGUGCCGCGUGAAGGAUUAAGGCCCUCUGGGUUGUAAACUUCUUUUAUAGGGGACGAAAAAAGGGCAUUCUUGCUCACUUGACGGUACCCUAGGAAUAAGCACCGGCUAACUCCGUGCCAGCAGCCGCGGUAAUACGGAGGGUGCAAGCGUUAUCCGGAUUUACUGGGUUUAAAGGGUGCGUAGGUGGGUUGGUAAGUCAGUGGUGAAAUCUUCGAGCUUAACUCGGAAACUGCCAUUGAUACUAUCAAUCUUGAAUCAUCUAGAGGUAAGCGGAAUAUGUCAUGUAGCGGUGAAAUGCUUAGAUAUGACAUAGAACACCAAUUGCGAAGGCAGCUUACUAUGGAUGUAUUGACACUGAGGCACGAAAGCGUGGGGAUCAAACAGGAUUAGAUACCCUGGUAGUCCACGACCUAACGAUAGAUACUACGACAUUGUGUAUAUACUAUAAGUAGUNUGAGNGAAGACAUUAAGUAUACCACCGUACGGAAGGUACGUAACCGCGAGUUAGUUAAAGUUAAAGUUAGUUAGUUAGAGGNGNGNGAGNGCGACGGACGACGACGAGGGAGGAGG